CAACCAUUUCCAUUGAAUAAAUUGAUUGAAAUAUUUAGUUUUAAGAAAGUAGCAUUUCGUUUGGAUAUUUGUAUACUGAGUAGAUGUAACCGACAAGAUGUAGAAAAUAUUCUUCAAUGGGCAUUCAGAGAUCCUUACAGGGCAAAUGUAAACUUCUGCAAAGUAAAAGACCAGAAGAUUACAAUUCAUACAACUCAAAUAAUUUGUAUAAUUGCGAUCAGCAUCUUCAUCACGUGGGUUAUUGUUGCAACAAUUCUUGAAACUCUAUUUAAAUUUAAUAUUAUUAAUGUAUAUUGCAAUAAAGGAGACUUUCUACACAGUUUUCUUGCAGUUUCGUUACAUACAUCAAUCCAAAAGGUUUUUAAUACCGACUUGAAUGACAAGACGAGAUUUUUUUGUGGAAUUAAAUGUUUACUUACCUACCCUGUUGUAUUUGUUCAUAUACU